rnacentral:lncRNA from 10 species
AGUGAGACUGACUGCGUCGGGGUUGAGACUGGGUGGAUGAGGCUCACCCCGGCGGGGAGAAGGGACGAGGAGGGGCGGACAGCGGAAGGUCCGGGAGUGUCCGCCAUAAAGUCGUUUGAGGUGACCGUUGCGUAAUUUUUUAACUUCUAGUCAUGGCGAAUGAUCGCAGGAGAGCACAGACUGGACCCUGCUACGAUCUCUCUUGGAGUGGAUCAGACUGAUGAUCACCAACAACCAACUCAUUCCCGGAUAAGGAAGAAGAGAGUGUCACCUACUUCAGUGUGGUUUCAACCCUACUUCUGCAUCUUAAAGACACUUGUACAACGUUGGACACUGUGCAGGAUGAUGCCACUUCAUCUUGGAUGCUAAUCUGCCAUGUUGACUUCUGAUUAACCCCAGGCCCAGGAAUGCCUCAAGAUUUCUACUUUACUUACUGUUGCUUGUGUAAGCCAAGACAACCUUGAUGUUAUCAUAAACAUGUACUUACCUAAGUCCUGUCCUUUGGCAAAUUAUGGGCUAUGAGACACAGCAUUCUUGCCUUUCCCUGAGGGGUCAAUUUCAGCGAUCCUACACAUUCCUUCUGAAGCACUUAUGCUCUUUCUAUAUGGUAUGUAAGCUCUCGGUCUGGGGAGUAACAGUGCAGAGAUCUACCUGUCUUGUUGCCACAUGUUUCUAAACUUUCCAAUAAAUCACCUUCUACUGACAAA